AGAUGGCGACCGGCGCACGGGUGAGUAACACGUAUCCAACCUGCCGAUAACUCCGGAAUAGCCUUUCGAAAGAAAGAUUAAUACCGGAUGGCAUACGAAUAUCGCAUGAUAUUUUUAUUAAAGAAUUUCGGUUAUCGAUGGGGAUGCGUUCCAUUAGUUUGUUGGCGGGGUAACGGCCCACCAAGACUACGAUGGAUAGGGGUUCUGAGAGGAAGGUCCCCCACAUUGGAACUGAGACACGGUCCAA
rnacentral:rRNA from 1 species